GCAGCUGGUACAACUUUUCCCGCCAAAUUCUGUGCAGGUGUCGAAGGUCGGAUGACGUCACUGGAGCACGGCAUGUUGGGCACGAGUCUGGAGUUAAAAUGUACAGACAAGUGAGACCUGUUGGACAUCAAUACGGCACCACACUUCAGUCGGCACGCAUACGCUGUAGCUACGCAACACAUAGCUGGUAAACAACAAUUAGGAAUCGUAUUUUCCAAAGACUGCGGUCGUCGGUUUUCUCAACCUGUGCCUCCACGUCCAGGGACCAAUGGUUCGGGGCGCUGUCGUGCCGACGGCGAUCGCGAGG